rnacentral:misc_RNA from 1 species
AGCAGCCGCGGUAAUUCCAGCUCCAAUAGCGUAUAUUAAAGUUGUUGCAGUUAAAAAGCUCGUAGUUGAAUUUCGGGGUUAGCAGGUCGGUCGUGCCAUCGGUAUGAACUGGUCUCGCUGAUCCCUCCCUCUUGACGAACUGUGAUGCCAUUAAUUUGGUGUCGCAGGGAAUCAGGACUGUUACUUUGGAAAAAUUAGAGUGUUUAAAGCAGGCUCACGCUUGAAUACAUUAGCAUGGAAUAAUGAAAUAGGACGUUUGAUCCUAUUUUGUUGGUUUCUAGGAUUGACGUAAUGAUUAAUAGGGAUAGUUGGGGGCAUUAGUAUUCAAUUGUCAGAGGUGAAAUUCUUGGAUUUAUUGAAGACUAACUACUGCGAAAGCAUUUGCCAAGGAUGUUUUCAUUAAUCAAGAACGAAAGUUAGGGGAUCGAAGACGAUCAGAUACCGUCGUAGUCUUAACCAUAAACUAUGCCGACUAGGAAUCGGA